rnacentral:tRNA from 1 species
GGAGUGGUAGUUCAGUUGGUUAGAAUAUCUGCCUGUCACGCAGGAGGUCGCGGGUUCGAGUCCCGUCCAUUCCGCCA